AAGACUUUAAGUUAAUUUUUAAAACUUGUAGCCUUCAAAGUUAUAAAUAUCUGACUGACUGGGUAAGUCUUA
rnacentral:tRNA from 1 species